rnacentral:rRNA from 1 species
UUUGAUCCUGGCUCAGAACGAACGCUGGCGGCGUGGAUAAGACAUGCAAGUCGAACGGAUUAUUCAUUGUAGCAAUACAGUGGGUAGUCAGUGGCGCAAGGGUGCGUAACACGUGGGCAACCUGCCCGGAAGUGGGGGAUAGCUCGCCGAAAGGCGAAUUAAUACCGCAUGUGUCUAGAGGUGGAAUCACCUUGAGGGCAAAGUCGGGGCAACCUGACGCUUCUGGAUGGGCCCGCGGCCUAUCAGCUAGUUGGUGAGGUAACGGCUCACCAAGGCGAUGACGGGUAGCUGGUCUGAGAGGACGACCAGCCACACUGGAACUGAGACACGGUCCAGACACCUACGGGUGGCAGCAGUCGAGAAUUUUUCUCAAUGGGGGAAACCCUGAAGGAGCG